GUGCUCACUUCAGCAGCACGUAUUCUAAAAUUGGAAUGAUACAGAGAAGAUUAGCAUGGCCCCUGUAAGGAUGACACUUAAAUUAGUGAAGGGUUCCAUAUUAAA
ensembl:snRNA U6 U6 spliceosomal RNA